UUAAGCGACUAAGCGUACACGGUGGAUGCCCUGGCAGUCAGAGGCGAUGAAGGACGUGCUAAUCUGCGAUAAGCGUCGGUAAGGUGAUAUGAACCGUUAUAACCGGCGAUUUCCGAAUGGGGAAACCCAGUGUGUUUCGACACACUAUCAUUAACUGAAUCCAUAGGUUAAUGAGGCGAACCGGGGGAACUGAAACAUCUAAGUACCCCGAGGAAAAGAAAUCAACCGAGAUUCCCCCAGUAGCGGCGAGCGAACGGGGAGCAGCCCAGAGCCUGAAUCAGUGUGUGUGUUAGUGGAAGCGUCUGGAAAGGCGCGCGAUACAGGGUGACAGCCCCGUACACAAAAAUGCACAUGCUGUGAGCUCGAUGAGUAGGGCGGGACACGUGGUAUCCUGUCUGAAUAUGGGGGGACCAUCCUCCAAGGCUAAAUACUCCUGACUGACCGAUAGUGAACCAGUACCGUGAGGGAAAGGCGAAAAGAACCCCGGCGAGGGGAGUGAAAAAGAACCUGAAACCGUGUACGUACAAGCAGUGGGAGCACGCUUAGGCGUGUGACUGCGUACCUUUUGUAUAAUGGGUCAGCGACUUAUAUUCUGUAGCAAGGUUAACCGAAUAGGGGAGCCGAAGGGAAACCGAGUCUUAACUGGGCGUUAAGUUGCAGGGUAUAGACCCGAAACCCGGUGAUCUAGCCAUGGGCAGGUUGAAGGUUGGGUAACACUAACUGGAGGACCGAACCGACUAAUGUUGAAAAAUUAGCGGAUGACUUGUGGCUGGGGGUGAAAGGCCAAUCAAACCGGGAGAUAGCUGGUUCUCCCCGAAAGCUAUUUAGGUAGCGCCUCGUGAAUUCAUCUCCGGGGGUAGAGCACUGUUUCGGCAAGGGGGUCAUCCCGACUUACCAACCCGAUGCAAACUGCGAAUACCGGAGAAUGUUAUCACGGGAGACACACGGCGGGUGCUAACGUCCGUCGUGAAGAGGGAAACAACCCAGACCGCCAGCUAAGGUCCCAAAGUCAUGGUUAAGUGGGAAACGAUGUGGGAAGGCCCAGACAGCCAGGAUGUUGGCUUAGAAGCAGCCAUCAUUUAAAGAAAGCGUAAUAGCUCACUGGUCGAGUCGGCCUGCGCGGAAGAUGUAACGGGGCUAAACCAUGCACCGAAGCUGCGGCAGCGACGCUUAUGCGUUGUUGGGUAGGGGAGCGUUCUGUAAGCCUGCGAAGGUGUGCUGUGAGGCAUGCUGGAGGUAUCAGAAGUGCGAAUGCUGACAUAAGUAACGAUAAAGCGGGUGAAAAGCCCGCUCGCCGGAAGACCAAGGGUUCCUGUCCAACGUUAAUCGGGGCAGGGUGAGUCGACCCCUAAGGCGAGGCCGAAAGGCGUAGUCGAUGGGAAACAGGUUAAUAUUCCUGUACUUGGUGUUACUGCGAAGGGGGGACGGAGAAGGCUAUGUUGGCCGGGCGACGGUUGUCCCGGUUUAAGCGUGUAGGCUGGUUUUCCAGGCAAAUCCGGAAAAUCAAGGCUGAGGCGUGAUGACGAGGCACUACGGUGCUGAAGCAACAAAUGCCCUGCUUCCAGGAAAAGCCUCUAAGCAUCAGGUAACAUCAAAUCGUACCCCAAACCGACACAGGUGGUCAGGUAGAGAAUACCAAGGCGCUUGAGAGAACUCGGGUGAAGGAACUAGGCAAAAUGGUGCCGUAACUUCGGGAGAAGGCACGCUGAUAUGUAGGUGAAGUCCCUUGCGGAUGGAGCUGAAAUCAGUCGAAGAUACCAGCUGGCUGCAACUGUUUAUUAAAAACACAGCACUGUGCAAACACGAAAGUGGACGUAUACGGUGUGACGCCUGCCCGGUGCCGGAAGGUUAAUUGAUGGGGUCAGCGCAAGCGAAGCUCUUGAUCGAAGCCCCGGUAAACGGCGGCCGUAACUAUAACGGUCCUAAGGUAGCGAAAUUCCUUGUCGGGUAAGUUCCGACCUGCACGAAUGGCGUAAUGAUGGCCAGGCUGUCUCCACCCGAGACUCAGUGAAAUUGAACUCGCUGUGAAGAUGCAGUGUACCCGCGGCAAGACGGAAAGACCCCGUGAACCUUUACUAUAGCUUGACACUGAACAUUGAGCCUUGAUGUGUAGGAUAGGUGGGAGGCUUGGAAGUGUGGACGCCAGUCUGCAUGGAGCCGACCUUGAAAUACCACCCUUUAAUGUUUGAUGUUCUAACGUUGACCCGUAAUCCGGGUUGCGGACAGUGUCUGGUGGGUAGUUUGACUGGGGCGGUCUCCUCCUAAAGAGUAACGGAGGAGCACGAAGGUUGGCUAAUCCUGGUCGGACAUCAGGAGGUUAGUGCAAUGGCAUAAGCCAGCUUGACUGCGAGCGUGACGGCGCGAGCAGGUGCGAAAGCAGGUCAUAGUGAUCCGGUGGUUCUGAAUGGAAGGGCCAUCGCUCAACGGAUAAAAGGUACUCCGGGGAUAACAGGCUGAUACCGCCCAAGAGUUCAUAUCGACGGCGGUGUUUGGCACCUCGAUGUCGGCUCAUCACAUCCUGGGGCUGAAGUAGGUCCCAAGGGUAUGGCUGUUCGCCAUUUAAAGUGGUACGCGAGCUGGGUUUAGAACGUCGUGAGACAGUUCGGUCCCUAUCUGCCGUGGGCGCUGGAGAACUGAGGGGGGCUGCUCCUAGUACGAGAGGACCGGAGUGGACGCAUCACUGGUGUUCGGGUUGUCAUGCCAAUGGCACUGCCCGGUAGCUAAAUGCGGAAGAGAUAAGUGCUGAAAGCAUCUAAGCACGAAACUUGCCCCGAGAUGAGUUCUCCCUGACUCCUUGAGAGUCCUGAAGGAACGUUGAAGACGACGACGUUGAUAGGCCGGGUGUGUAAGCGCAGCGAUGCGUUGAGCUAACCGGUACUAAUGAACCGUGAGGCUUAACCUU
rnacentral:rRNA from 1 species